rnacentral:rRNA from 1 species
CCUACGGGAGGCAGCAGUAGGGAAUAUUGCUCAAUGGGGGAAACCCUGACGCAGCAACGCCGCGUGGAGGAUGAAGGCUUUAGGAUUGUAAACUCCUUUUAUCAGAGAAGAAAAUGACGGUAUCUCCCGAAUAAGCACCGGCUAACUACGUGCUAGCAGCCGCGGUAAUACGGAGGGGGCAAGCGUUAUUCGGAAUGACUGGGGGUAAAGAGAGCGCAGGCGGGCUUGUAAGUCAGAUGUGAAAUCCAUUAGCUUAACUACAGAACUGCAUUUGAAAAUAUGAGUCUAGAGUGUUGGAGAGGUAGUUGGAAUUCUUGGUGUAGGGGUGAAAUCCGUAGAUAUCAGGAGGAAUACUCGUGGCGAAGGCGGACUACUGGAACGUAACUGACGCUCAGGCGCGAAAGCGUGGGGAGCAAACAGGAUUAGAUACCCUAGUAGUC